rnacentral:rRNA from 1 species
CCAGAGUUUUGAUCAUGGCUCAGGAUGAACGCUGGCGGCGUGCCUAAUACAUGCAAGUCGAGCGAACAGACGAGGAGCUUGCUCCUUUGACGUUAGCGGCGGACGGGUGAGUAACACGUGGGUAACCUACCUAUAAGACUGGGAUAACUUCGGGAAACCGGAGCUAAUACCGGAUAAUAUUUCGAACCGCAUGGUUCGAUAGUGAAAGAUGGCUCUGCUAUCACUUAUAGAUGGACCUGCGCCGUAUUAGCUAGUUGGUAAGGUAACGGCUUACCAAGGCAACGAUACGUAGCCGACCUGAGAGGGUGAUCGGCCACACUGGAACUGAGACACGGUCCAGACUCCUACGGGAGGCAGCAGUAGGGAAUCUUCCGCAAUGGGCGAAAGCCUGACGGAGCAACGCCGCGUGAGUGAUGAAGGUCUUCGGAUCGUAAAACUCUGUUAUUAGGGAAGAACAAACGUGUAAGUAACUGUGCACGUCUUGACGGUACCUAAUCAGAAAGCCACGGCUAACUACGUGCCAGCAGCCGCGGUAAUACGUAGGUGGCAAGCGUUAUCCGGAAUUAUUGGGCGUAAAGCGCGCGUAGGCGGUUUUUUAAGUCUGAUGUGAAAGCCCACGGCUCAACCGUGGAGGGUCAUUGGAAACUGGAAAACUUGAGUGCAGAAGAGGAAAGUGGAAUUCCAUGUGUAGCGGUGAAAUGCGCAGAGAUAUGGAGGAACACCAGUGGCGAAGGCGACUUUCUGGUCUGUAACUGACGCUGAUGUGCGAAAGCGUGGGGAUCAAACAGGAUUAGAUACCCUGGUAGUCCACGCCGUAAACGAUGAGUGCUAAGUGUUAGGGGGUUUCCGCCCCUUAGUGCUGCAGCUAACGCAAUAAAGCACUCCCGCCU